rnacentral:rRNA from 1 species
UACGUAGGCAGCGAGCGUUGUUCGGAUUCACUGGGCGUAAAGGGUGCGUAGGCGGUCGGGUAAGUCUGAUGUGAAAUCUCACAGCUUAACUGUGAAACUGCAUUGGAUACUAUCCGGCUAGAGGAAUGGAGGGGAGACUGGAAUACUUGGUGUAGCAGUGAAAUGCGUAGAUAUCAAGUGGAACACCAGUGGCGAAGGCGAGUCUCUGGACAUUUCCUGACGCUGAGGCACGAAAGCCAGGGGAGCAAACGGG